CAGCCGCCGCGGGAAAACGUAGGGUCCGAGCGUUGUCCGGAAUUACUGGGCGUAAAGAGCUCGUAGGUGGUUUGUCGCGUUGUUCGUGAAAACUCACAGCUCAACUGUGGGCGUGCGGGCGAUACGGGCAGACUAGAGUACUGCAGGGGAGACUGGAAUUCCUGGUGUAGCGGUGGAAUGCGCAGAUAUCAGGAGGAACACCGGUGGCGAAGGCGGGUCUCUGGGCAGUAACUGACGCUGAGGAGCGAAAGCGUGGGGAGCGAACAGGAUUAGAUACCCCCGUAGUCCCUGUCUCUUAUAC
rnacentral:rRNA from 1 species